UACAGAGGGGGCACGCGUUGUUCGGAAUUACUGGGCGUAAAGGGCGCGUAGGCGGCCUUCUAAGUCGAACGUGAAAUCCCCGGGCUCAACCCGGGAACUGCGUCCGAUACUGGAAGGCUUGAAUCCGGGAGAGGGAUGCGGAAUUCCAGGUGUAGCGGUGAAAUGCGUAGAUAUCUGGAGGAACACCGGUGGCGAAGGCGGCAUCCUGGACCGGCAUUGACGCUGAGGCGCGAAAGCCAGGGGAGCAAACGGG
rnacentral:rRNA from 1 species